rnacentral:lncRNA from 1 species
GCUGUCGCAUAAAGUAUAUAAAGUAAUUUUAAAAAAUUAAAAAAAAAAAUUGGGUGUCUAUUUAUUUUUUAAAAAAUAUUGGGUCCGCCAAAAUAAAUUAAAUAAUUUAUAAUUAAAAUUAUGAUUUAUAUAAUUAAAAUUUAAAUUAUGAUUUUUUAUAUUGCGAUUUAAAAAAUUAUCAUCUUCUUGGUCAAUGUAGAGAGAGAAUUUCUGACAUUUGACUGCGCAUCUGUCCGAAUCUCAAUACCCUAAUCUUUCACGGGAUGUAAUUUUCUCAGGUUUUCGUGCCUUUCGAAUCUGCCACUUUUGGAUUUAAUCGAAGAAAAAGAAUUUCAAUUCGGGGAGUUUUCGUGAAUGCUUUUCACACGAAAUCUGAAAUUCGUCCCCGAGACGGAAUCGUCUGUUUCUGAAAGUAAAUCCAAAAGUCGGAAGAAUUUAGAGAGAAAACCAGAAAGAAGAUAAGGUUGGGUUGAUGAAAGAGAGAGAGAGAGAACCUUCAGAGCUGUAAAUCGCAUCAUCACAAGGCCGGAAGAGGGAAGAAGAAUUGAGGGAGACGAUGGGAGGAGAGAAGACGAGCAGCAAUUUUUUUGAAUUCAGAUUGAAAACUAUUUGAUGUUAAAAACAGAUGUCUUCAUGAUCCCCAUCAGGUUUUCUUAUCCACAUAUUUCUCUUGCCGCUUCAGAAGUCUUCUUCCAAACUCUCAUCGCUUCGCCGCCUAUUGCUUCUUAAAACCCUAGACAUUCACAGUCUUAACCCACGCUCUAUAUAUAAACUGCUAUCUAGGGUUUUUCUCGAGCCAACUCUUUAUCUCUCUAGUCAUUGAAUUGACCCUUUUGUCCUUUGCUAAUAUUUCACAAUUAGUAUAAAACUAUAACCAAC